rnacentral:rRNA from 1 species
AACGAACGCUGGCGGCAGGCCUAACACAUGCAAGUCGAACGCUCUAGCAAUAGAAAGUGGCGCACGGGUGCGUAACGCGUGGGAAUAUGCCCUUGACUACGGAACAACGUCGGGGAACUGACGCUAAUACCGUAUAAUGUCUUCGGACCAACGAUUUGUCGGUGAAGGAUUAGCCCGCGUCUGAUUAGCUAGUUGGUGAGGUAACGGCUCACCAAGGCGACGAUCAGUAGCUGGUCUGAGAGGAUGAUCAGCCACACUGGGACUGAGACACGGCCCAGACUCCUACGGGAGGCAGCAGUGAGGAAUAUUGGACAAUGGAGACAACUCUGAUCCAGCCAUGCCGCGUGAGUGACGAAGGCCUUCGGGUUGUAAAGCUCUUUCAGAUGCGAAGAUAAUGACGGUAACAUCAGAAGAAGCCCCGGCUAAAUUCGUGCCAGCCGCCGCAGUAA